UCUGUCUGUCUCUCUCUCCAGUAAGGAACAUUCAAAAUAUUUUUUCUCUCUUUCGUGUUGUUAUAUGUUAUUGACAGUAUGAUGGAGAUAUCAGUGUGUUGUACCAAGUAAUGGUGGAUCCAGCUUUGACCACUAAAAAGUGGGGAAAUAAAGAUCUUCCCUUGAGACCAGGAGAGACUAUUGAUGUCAUUGUGAAACCUCAAGAUGGCAAACUAAUCGGAAGGAACAAAGACGGAAAAUUUGGCUAUGUUUGCCUUUGCAACAUCCAACAGGAAUCUGACAUUUAUGAUGAUGUUGGAGAGGAUUGCAUUUAUGACAACUGAACAGAAACCCUGCUGAGUUUCCUAAAAUGGUUGAAAGGAUUGAAACUGAACUGAAUUGAAUUUGAACUAUUUGAACAU